rnacentral:lncRNA from 1 species
ACUCUCAGACAGGAAUAAAGAACGAACCUAUAAUUUUUUUACUUCACUAAUAUGUUGUCUUAAAAAAAAUCAACUGAAUGCUUGUUUGUUUUUCAUAAUACAGUUCCUUGAGCGGCCUUCCAGUCACCUGACUCUAUAUUUGACUGUCCCGUUUGUUUACCUUUAUUUUAUUGCACUGCUCACCAUAACUGAGGUACUUAGCCACAGAAGUGGCCACACUGGUUUUAUUUAAGCGGAAUUCCUCUUUUGGCGCGCAGGGCAGAGACAGUUACGCAGUAGCAGUCAUCCUCCGUAGAGGGCGCUCUAGUUUGGAGCGCCAUCCCUGAGAAACACAUUCCUUUUACGGUUUUCCAAAGAUUUUUUAGUUUGUGGGAAAGUAUUCGACUCUCGAUGGUAUGGUGACCAUCACGGGGCUUCCAAAUCCUGAGCGGACUUUGAUGUUUUUUUUUUUUUUUUGCCCGAUAGUGAUUUUUAUGCACAGCGACGGACCGGCGACGUUCCGGGCAUUAGUGCUUCCCCGUAAUGGAGUGUAGGUCAGAAUAAAGGGAGCAAAAGGAGAAGCCGGAAGUGGCGUUGCAGUUGUGGGUUUUGUCGUUUGUGAGACAAUCUUUGAGUGGAGCCCGGCGGCUAACAGAGCUAGCCACGAGUGGGCCUGGGCGGUGGUGCGGGCGCGGCGAGCGGCACAACGCCAUGUGAGGAAACCCAUGCAAACUCCACACAGUAAGAACCUGAGUCAAACCCAGCUCUCAAACUACAGGUCUGGUCAGGUGGCGGGACCAUUCCCACGGCCCUCUCACUGGCAGACCAUCGAGCACACAAGUGUGUGCCAACAGCCAUUUUGUCUGCUGGAGCAGCCCAAGAGGAACUGGCUCAUCUGUCUGGUGUGCUUUACCCAGGCCUCCCCUGUGGGUGCAAGUGUGAGGUGGGGUGAGGCAAGUGAGUUGUUGUCUCUGGAACUGGUGCAUCAUGACUGUGGAAUACCUCUGUCCACACAGCUGAGUGGGUCCGAGGAGUGAGGUGAGUGCUGCAUACAUGGGGUUCUUGCUUUUGUAGGUGGUUAGAUUUUUUUUUUUUUGUUAAAUAAAUUUUACUCAAAGGACUUACA